UACGAAGGGGGCUAGCGUUGCUCGGAAUUACUGGGCGUAAAGGGCGCGUAGGCGGAUAUUUAAGUCGGGGGUGAAAGCCCAGGGCUCAACCCUGGAAUUGCCUUCGAUACUGGAUAUCUUGAGUUCGGGAGAGGUGAGUGGAAUGCCGAGUGUAGAGGUGAAAUUCGUAGAUAUUCGGCGGACACCAGUGGCGAAGGCGACUCACUGGCCCGAUACUGACGCUGAGGCGCGAAAGCGUGGGGAGCAAACAGG
rnacentral:rRNA from 1 species